GAUGAACGCUGGCGGCGUGCCUAACACAUGCAAGUCGAGCGAUUUACUUCGGUAAAGAGCGGCGGACGGGUGAGUAACGCGUGGGUAACCAGCCUCAUAUACAUGGAUAACACCGGGAAACCGGUGCUAAUACCGGAUAAUUCUUUCCCUCACAUGAGGGAAAGCUGAAGGUCGGCUUUUCGCUGACACUUACAGAUGGGCCCGCGGCGCAUUAGCUAGUUGGUGAGGUAACGGCCCACCAAGGCGACGAUGCGUAGCCGACCUGAGAGGGUGAUCGGCCACACUGGGACUGAGACACGGCCCAGACUCCUACGGGAGGCAGCAGUAGGGAAUCUUCCGCAAUGGACGAAAGUCUGACGGAGCAACGCCGCGUGAGUGAUGAAGGCCUUCGGGUCGUAAAACUCUGUUGUUAGGGAAGAACAAGUACCGGAGUAACUGCCGGUACCUUGACGGUACCUAACCAGAAAGCCACGGCUAACUACGUGCCAGCAGCCGCGGUAACAC
rnacentral:rRNA from 1 species